rnacentral:rRNA from 1 species
UACGGAGGGGGUUAGCGUUGUUCGGAAUUACUGGGCGUAAAGCGCGCGUAGGCGGAUUAGUCAGUUAGAGGUGAAAUCCCAGGGCUCAACCCUGGAACUGCCUUUAAUACUGCUAGUCUUGAGUUCGAGAGAGGUGAGUGGAAUUCCGAGUGUAGAGGUGAAAUUCGUAGAUAUUCGGAGGAACACCAGUGGCGAAGGCGGCUCACUGGCUCGAUACUGACGCUGAGGUGCGAAAGUGUGGGGAGCAAACAGG